rnacentral:lncRNA from 1 species
UGCCAACAACCUAAAAAUAAACCAAGUUGCUAUGCAGGGGUAAACCAUGAAUAUAUGAUCUAUUUAUUCCAUUUAGUAAUUUUUAUAGCUUUAUCACAGUAAUAUUUGAUAAUUGUGAAUGAAGUCAUAUUGAUAAUAUUUAAGCUAAAAUGGAAGACAGAACUUUGUUAACAUUGCUGUUUCUGCAAAAGUAUGUCUACUGCAAAAUAGCCUUACGAUGUCGACUGCAUCUCAUUCAGCUUGUUGUUGUUACCUUUGGAUUUUGUCUAAAUACCUUUGUGUCUCUAUGGUUUCUCUUGCGUGUAGUGCGGUCUUUGCAUUCUGAUGCAUAGCAUUACUGUGCGCUCUCAAGAGUUAUUUUGUUCAACUCCAAGUGUUGUUGCUAGUUCUGCUAGCAGUCUGUUCAGCCUAUCACCACCAGAAGUGUCCGAGAGACUCAUUUCAUCAAGUGUACAGUCCUUCAAGGUCUCCAGGGGACUAGCAGUGCGGAUCUCAGCAGAUUUUAUAUGAUGUAACUGCACAGAAAUGCAACACUGAACAGAAAUGAGAAGUAUUCUUACUCUGAGAUCCUGCCCUCACAUGCUCUGAAAGCUUCACUGCUGGAUGUGGAUACCUCUGCUGGGAGCCUAGUAAGAGGAAAUGGUUGUGCUAGGAGUUAUGCUGUCAUAGUCAGCAUCUCUUUGUCACUGUGCCAUGAGUUAGAACUUGCUCAGUUGCUGUGUGAGCUCAUGACUGGAUUGGUAUUGCAGUAGUGAGUCUUUUCUUGAGGGCAAAACAUUACAAAGCGAGUGGAGUUGCCUCUGGCUAACAUCAUUUUAAGCAAGAGAGAGAGUAUGAGUGAGAUCUACAGCAAAGGUCCUUUCUUCUUUCUAGAUCACUGAGAGCCUUACCCUGCCUCACUACGGACAGUGUGAACUUGGCUAGUGAUCGCUGUAGCAGCAAGACCCGGCAGGCCCUUGCAAGGUAAGGGUUUUGAAGCUCUUCAAGUUAAGCACACUGUUGAACGCAUGUGUCUGUCCACGGGGGAAGAGACUGACACAGAACAAAGUAAUGGGGGAUAAUUGCAAGUCUGAUGGAAUAAUCUUGAAGUGUUAAGAACUGUGGUACAUGACAGAGGUGAAAGAGAUGGGAGAGAAAGAAACUGAAGACAAUCCCCUAAAAGAGAAGCAGCAAAGUCUCUUUUAAGUAAAGAUCUUGUGACAAUACAAGGCUCCCAAAGGGAAUGCUCUGACACUUCACCUGCUGCCUUUUCAGGAGCAGAUUUCCAUUCAUGGCCUGGAAUUUGGCCCUGCUAGUUGGACUGCUUUGUCUGGAGUAAUUGCUUCUGGAGAGCAGGAAACGUGCUGAUGUCUGUCUUCAGAUCAGAUACAACACGUUAAGAAAAUCAGUUUAUGCUAGCAAAGCAAAGAGUUAAGUUUUGAAUUACAAAGUUGGGGGUGCUGUUUACUAGAGAAAAAUGCAAAAAUGAGGAAACUCAAACUUAAAUACCCCUAGCACUUACUUCUUGCUU